rnacentral:rRNA from 1 species
AGGCAGCAGUUAGGAAUAUUGGACAAUGGGCGAAAGCCUGAUCCAGCCGCGCCGCGUGUGUGAAGAAGGUCUUCGGAUUGUAAAGCACUUUAAGUUGGGAGGAAGGGCAGUAAAUUAAUACUUUGCUGUUUUGACGUUACCGACAGAAUAAGCACCGGCUAACUCCGUGCCAGCAGCCGCGGUAAUACAGAGGGUGCAAGCGUUAAUCGGAAUUACUGGGCGUAAAGCGCGCGUAGGUGGUUCGUUAAGUUGGAUGUGAAAUCCCCGGGCUCAACCUGGGAACUGCAUCCAAAACUGGCGAGCUAGAGUAUGGUAGAGGGUGGUGGAAUUUCCUGUGUAGCGGUGAAAUGCGUAGAUAUAGGAAGGAACACCAGUGGCGAAGGCGACCACCUGGACUGAUACUGACACUGAGAUGCGAAAGCGUGGGGAGCAAACAGGAUUAGAUACCCCAGUAGUCC